GCCCAACAAGAGGCUGUUGCAUUAAGCUCUGACAGUUGCAGUUGGAGAGGUGACGGCUAUUUAGAGAUAUGUAAAGGUGGAGAUGUUGGUAUCGGGCGAUUGACUGGAUGUGGAGCAUGAGGGGGGAAGAGAGGACAUUGGGUGGCUGGUUCAUCUCAGAGUGAAGAAGAGCAUGGGACUGAGCGCAGGAUUGCCUGGCAGAGGCCGUGCUGAGCCCUGCACCACUGGAGUGGAAGGAACCAGCAGAAACUACUAGAAGACCCUCCCCCUCACCAGCAGCUCUGGUCGACAGGACCUGAUCCAGAGCAGAGGAGAAGCCUGACCAGAGCAGCA